GCUUCAGUGGCGCAAUCGGUGAGCGUGUGGUACUUAUAAUGCCGAGGUUGUGAGUUCGAGCCUCACCUGGAGCA